UACGUAGGGGGCAAGCGUUGUCCGGAAUUAUUGGGCGUAAAGAGCUCGUAGGCGGUCUGUUGCGUCCGCUGUGAAAACUCGGGGCUUAACCCCGAGCCUGCAGUGGAUACGGGCAGACUAGAGGUAGGUAGGGGAGAAUGGAAUUCCCGGUGUAGCGGUGAAAUGCGCAGAUAUCGGGAGGAACACCGGUGGCGAAGGCGGCGACCUGGGUAGAUACUGACGCUGAGGUGCGAAAGCGUGGGGAGCAAACAGG
rnacentral:rRNA from 1 species